GUGCGCGGGAGGGAGCCUGGGGUUCACUGGUUCAAAUGUGUGCAAUUAUUUGCAGGAGGUCAGGGCGAGUCCCAGUGCUGCAGCCCCAACUGGAAUCAAGCAGGGACGUGGAGUCAAGCUGCAGUCUAAGGGUGCACUGGACAUGAAAUGCUAAAUAAAUCCCUAAGUAAAUCGUGAUCA
rnacentral:lncRNA from 12 species